GACGAACGCUGGCGGCGUGCUUAACACAUGCAAGUCGAACGGAAAGGCCCUGCUUUUGUGGGGUGCUCGAUUGGCGAACGGGUGAGUAACACGUGAGUAACCUGCCCUUGACUUUGGGAUAACUUCAGGAAACUGGGGCUAAUACCGGAUAGGAGCUCCUGCUGCAUGGUGGGGGUUGGAAAGUUUCGGCGGUUGGGGAUGGACUCGCGGCUUAUCAGCUUGUUGGUGGGGUAGUGGCUUACCAAGGCUUUGACGGGUAGCCGGCCUGAGAGGGUGACCGGCCUCAUUGGGACUGCGAUACGGCCCAGACUCGUACGGGAGGCAGCAGUGGGGAAUAUUACACAAUGGGCGGAAGCCUGAUGCAGCAACGCCGCGUGCGGGAUGACGGCCUUCGGGUUGUAAACCGCUUUCGCCUGUGACGAAGCGUGAGUGACGGUAAUGGGUAAAGAAGCACCGGCUAACUACGUG
rnacentral:rRNA from 1 species